rnacentral:rRNA from 1 species
CCUACGGGGGGCAGCAGUGGGGAAUAUUGCACAAUGGGGGAAACCCUGAUGCAGCGACGCCGCGUGGGCGAGGAAGUACCUCGGUAUGUAAAGCCCUAUCAGCAGGGAAGAAACAGGACAGUACCUGACUAAGAAGCCCCGGCUAACUACGUGCCAGCAGCCGCGGUAAUACGUAGGGGGCAAGCGUUAUCCGGAUUUACUGGGUGUAAAGGGAGCGUAGACGGCCAGACAAGUCAGAAGUGAAAGCCCAGGGCUCAACCCUGGGACUGCUUUUGAAACUGUUAUUCUAGAGUAUGGGAGAGGUA